GCGUUAACGAACGAGACCUCGACCUGCUAAAUAGUGGGCUUCAUAUUUCGAUGUGGGUGUCUUACUUCUUAGAGGGACUAUCGGUGUGUAGCCGAUGGAAGUUCGAGGCAAUAACAGGUCUGUGAUGCCCUUAGAUGUUCUGGGCCGCACGCGCGCUACACUGACACGUUCAUCGAGUUUACAACCUUGACUGAGAGGUCUGGGUAAUCUUUUCAAAACGUGUCGUGCUGGGGAUAGAUUAUUGUAAUUAUUAAUCUUCAACGAGGAAUUCCUAGUAAACGCAAGUCAUCAACUUGCAUUGAUUACGUCCCUGCCCUUUGUACACACCGCCCGUCGCUAGUACCGAUUGAAUGGAUA
rnacentral:rRNA from 1 species